rnacentral:rRNA from 39 species
AGAGUUUGAUCCUGGCUCAGGAUGAACGCUGGCGGCGUGCCUAAUACAUGCAAGUCGAGCGAACGGAUGAGAAGCUUGCUUCUCUGAUGUUAGCGGCGGACGGGUGAGUAACACGUGGAUAACCUACCUAUAAGACUGGGAUAACUUCGGGAAACCGGAGCUAAUACCGGAUAAUAUUUUGAACCGCAUGGUUCAAAAGUGAAAGACGGUCUUGCUGUCACUUAUAGAUGGAUCCGCGCUGCAUUAGCUAGUUGGUAAGGUAACGGCUUACCAAGGCAACGAUGCAUAGCCGACCUGAGAGGGUGAUCGGCCACACUGGAACUGAGACACGGUCCAGACUCCUACGGGAGGCAGCAGUAGGGAAUCUUCCGCAAUGGGCGAAAGCCUGACGGAGCAACGCCGCGUGAGUGAUGAAGGUCUUCGGAUCGUAAAACUCUGUUAUUAGGGAAGAACAUAUGUGUAAGUAACUGUGCACAUCUUGACGGUACCUAAUCAGAAAGCCACGGCUAACUACGUGCCAGCAGCCGCGGUAAUACGUAGGUGGCAAGCGUUAUCCGGAAUUAUUGGGCGUAAAGCGCGCGUAGGCGGUUUUUUAAGUCUGAUGUGAAAGCCCACGGCUCAACCGUGGAGGGUCAUUGGAAACUGGAAAACUUGAGUGCAGAAGAGGAAAGUGGAAUUCCAUGUGUAGCGGUGAAAUGCGCAGAGAUAUGGAGGAACACCAGUGGCGAAGGCGACUUUCUGGUCUGUAACUGACGCUGAUGUGCGAAAGCGUGGGGAUCAAACAGGAUUAGAUACCCUGGUAGUCCACGCCGUAAACGAUGAGUGCUAAGUGUUAGGGGGUUUCCGCCCCUUAGUGCUGCAGCUAACGCAUUAAGCACUCCGCCUGGGGAGUACGACCGCAAGGUUGAAACUCAAAGGAAUUGACGGGGACCCGCACAAGCGGUGGAGCAUGUGGUUUAAUUCGAAGCAACGCGAAGAACCUUACCAAAUCUUGACAUCCUUUGACAACUCUAGAGAUAGAGC